rnacentral:rRNA from 1 species
UACGGGGGGAGCAAGCGUUGUUCGGAUUUACUGGGCGUAAAGGGCGCGUAGGCGGUCAGCACAAGUCAGUUGUGAAAUCUCCGGGCUUAACUCGGAAAGGUCAACUGAUACUGUGCGACUAGAGUGCGGAAGGGGCAACUGGAAUUCUCGGUGUAGCGGCGAAAUGCGUAGAUAUCGAGAGGAACACCUGCGGCGAAGGCGGCUCACUGGUCCGGUACUGACGCUGAGGUGCGAAAGCGUGGGGAGCAAACAGG